GCCUGGCUUCGGCAGCACAGAUACUAAAGUUGGAAUAAUACAUAGUAGAUUAACAUGUCCCCUGCACAGGGAUGACAUGCAAAUUCGUGAAGCUCUACACUUCUGU